GACAGAGGGGGCAAGCGUUGCUCGGAAUCACUGGGCGUAAAGGGCGCGUAGGCGGGAUGGCAAGUCGGUCGUGAAAUCUCUCGGCUCAACCGAGAAACGUCGGCCGAUACUGCCGUUCUUGAGGGAUGCAGAGGAGACUGGAAUUCCCGGUGUAGCGGUGAAAUGUGUAGAGAUCGGGAGGAACACCGGUGGCGAAGGCGGGUCUCUGGGCAACUCCUGACGCUGAGGCGCGAAAGCGUGGGGAGCAAACGGG
rnacentral:rRNA from 1 species